rnacentral:piRNA from 1 species
UGGUCUUCAUUAUGUGCCUUAGACAUAU